AUCAGGUAUAAACACCUUAAAUCGAGUCAUCAUUCCUCUGUGCAUUAGCCAAGAGACACAACAAAGCAGGAGGAACAAAUACAUUCUGUCCCUCUCUUGAUUUUCUUUUGGGAAGCACCAAGUCAUUCAAGCAAAUAUGUGCGAGAAGAAACUAAAGGUCAAUUGCUCCAGCGGAAGUUUUAAAGAACUCCUUUCAUUAGCCAGAGGAACUUGGGAAGAUGGGAAUUUCUCCCAGGAUGAAUUCCCCUGCUCCUUCACCCACACCAGAUUUCCAACUUUCUGGAAUCCCCUCACACAUGGUGGGAGCUCCCUCCGGGAUUUCCCCUCUGGAAUCCCCUUCCACACUCUUUGUGUAACCCUUUCCCUUCUUUUCCUUUCCUUCUCUUUUCCCUACCUAAAUAAAAUCAUCUUUCUUCAACACUUCUCGGGUCUGAUAUUUACUUUCACCAGCAUUCGGUGCAUGUACAGUGGCCCUGCCGCUUAUUCUUUAAGAGGUUGGAGGCCAAGAACCCACAGCAUUCUCUUGAGAAAGCUGUGCCUCACUGGCACUCAAGAAAAAACCUGGUAACAAUAGCACUUAGAUUUCCCCCUUUUUGGCUACUCUUUAGAUCUUGUAUGUGUGCUACAUUCCCUUUUACUCUCUUCUUUUGUCUCCUGUCACUGUAUAUUUUCUAAUAGCUAUCUUUAAGCUCACUAAUUCUCUUUUCUGCUUGAUCAAUUCUGCUAUUAAAAGUCUCUGAUGCAAAGAGCUUGCAUGGUGCUCUACCCCACUGUGGCGAGCUGUUUGUUACCUACGGUGCAAGAAAAAGUUUCUUUUACUUUACCUUCUGCUUUUGCAAAGCAUAAGGGGUCUCUCAACAUACCACCAUAGCUGAGACUGUAUGGAGCCUCACUUGUAGUCAGUAAGUCUCACCCAAGUCUCACAGCAUACUAACUGGGUUAUCACUACUUGUUAUAACUGUGGUUAUUCAAAGACCAAAGGUUCUUUAGUCAGCAGGUGAUGGGUGCUCCCAGGACUGGGACCUUCCCUUUAGACAGUAGGUUUUCUUUUGUCCCAGGGUGUGGCUAUAAAUGUCACCUGGAAACUAGGGCCUAGAAAGGGUGUCUUAAGACUCUGUUUCCCUAUGCUACUGUUGCUGAGGUGGCAUCCACAAUGCAAGACAAAGAUCUCUUUAUUCUUUUCUCUCUUCUCAAGUGUAAGGAGUCUCUUUUGGAGCAACAAGAUGUGCAGCCUGGAGUUUAGGGAGGGGUGGCCAACCACUCCCUUAGCUUCCUCAGCUGGUGUCACAGUAGGUUGUGUGGUUCCAUCACCAUCCACUGGUUCUGAGCCAAGUUCAGCACUGAGAACCACCUAGGACAGUCUUUGUAGCCUAGACUGCCUUUCAAGUGUGUUUGGAACCCCAUAACCCUUUAGUUUGUGGUGCUGAGGCUUGCCAGAACUCAAGUUUCAACCACUUCACCUACCUUCUGGCUAGGGCUGGUUUAAAUAUUCCCUCCAUGGGUGAGCAUCAGCUGCGUUCAGCCCAGUUUGGCUUUCUACUGUGACGAGAUACUGCUGAGUUCUAUGUAAUGUCUGUCAUUUGCUGCAUUCUCAAUCUUCCAAGCAUAGAGAAUCUCUCUUCAUGCCACUGGCAACUGUAGGAGAUGGGGGAGUAGUGGCACUGCUGAUUCAAGAUUGUCUGCUGCCCUCCUUGGUGCCUCCUUCAGCUAUAUGAAGUUAAAACCAGAUACUGUGAGUAUUCACCUGAUUUUUGCUUUUUAUGAAGGUAUGUGUUUGUGUGUAUGUGUGUGUGUAGAUAGUUGUUAAAUUGGUGUCCUUGCAGAGGGAACUAUCAGUGGAACAUUGCAUUUGGCUAUCUUGCUACACUCCUCCUCCAUCAUUCCAGAUUGUUUUUUAUCACUGACUUGUGGAAAUUCUCUAAGUAUUCUGGAUAUGUUAUUUAUUGGAAUAUGCAUGUGUUUGUGUGUGUAUGUGUGCAUAUGUAUAAAUACACACACACACAUAUAAGUAAAUUACCAUAUAUAUAUAUGCAUAUAUAAUAAAUACUCUCUCCCAGUCUCA
rnacentral:lncRNA from 13 species